UUGUGUUUGCCUGCUUGGUCGCUAGAUGGUGUUGGAGUUCACAGGUGCAGAGGGGACAGGUGCUUCGUAUUGACUAAUUACCUGGAGGUGUAUUUAGACUGGAAGCUGCCAGCACUUCAAUGCCUGAGUAUUAGCCACCAGUGACCUGGUUGACUUCAAGCUGGUUUCUAGACUCUUCUUAAGGAGCGUUCUCUGACUUCUGGAUAAGGAUUAAAGUCUCCAGUUAUUUCCUCUGGAUCAAGUUCAAGCUGGCAGCUUCCUGGUUCUUCGACUAUCCAGAUGAAGUCAUAAGCUAACCCUGUCCACCCUCCAACCAACUCUCACGCAAGUACCUCCAACCUGUGCUCCACACCAUCAAUCCACUCUCUUCACACAGUCCUGGAUCAGAGCUCCUAAGGAUCUACCUUCGUGCGGCUAACCCCGGAAGGAUCUACCCCCACAGAACUGCUCCUGCAUUGCACUCUCAGACCCCGCAUCUCUCAUCCCUCUGGCGGUCCAUCUUCCUGCACCCAUUGGUGAUUUUUCCGGUCCAGGAUCUCUAACCCAUAUCACUCCCGUGAAAAUAAAACCUUUAAACGUCC